rnacentral:rRNA from 1 species
UACGUAGGGUGCGAGCGUUGUCCGGAAUUAUUGGGCGUAAAGGGCGCGUAGGCGGGCCGUCCAGUCAGGGGUGAAAUCCUCCAGCUUAACUGGAGAACAGCUUUUGAUACUGACGGCCUCGAGGGGGGUAGGGGCAUAUGGAACUUCCGGUGGAGCGGUGAAAUGCGUAGAUAUCGGAAGGAACGCCGGUGGCGAAAGCGACGUGCUGGACCCUUUCUGACGCUGAGGCGCGAAAGCCAGGGGAGCAAACGGG